rnacentral:rRNA from 1 species
UUGGAGGGCAGUCUGGUGCCAGCAGCCGCGGUAAUUCCAGCUCCAAUAGCGUAUAUUAAAGUUGUUGCAGUUAAAAAGCUCGUAGUUGAAUUUCGGGAUUCAUCCGUUGGUCGGGCUUCACGGUCCGUACUGGUGUGAUGGGUUCCUACCUUCUGAAUAACCGGCAUGCCAUUAAUUUGGUGCGCCGGGGAAGCAGAACUAUUACCUUGAAAAAAUUAGAGUGCUUAAAGCAGGCAAGUGCCUGAAUAGGUUAGCAUGGAAUAAUAAAAUAGGACGGCAUGGUUCUAUUUUGUUGGUUUCUAGGAUCACCGUAAUGAUUAAUAGGGAUAGUUGGGGGCAUUAGUAUUCAAUUGUCAGAGGUGAAAUUCUUGGAUUUAUUGAAGACUAACUUCUGCGAAAGCAUUUGCCAAGGAUGUUUUCAUUAAUCAAGAACGAAAGUUAGGGGAUCGAAGACGAUCAGAUACCGUCGUAGUCUUAACCAUAAACUAUGCCGACUAGGGAUCGGACGAUGUUAAUUUUUUAAUGACUCGUUCGGCGCCUUACGGGAAA